GUACACUCCUGCGGGAGGCAGCAGUGGGGAAUAUUGGACAAUGGGCGCAAGCCUGAUCCAGCCAUGCCGCGUGAGUGAUGAAGGCCCUAGGGUUGUAAAGCUCUUUCACCGGUGAAGAUAAUGACGGUAACCGGAGAAGAAGCCCCGGCUAACUUCGUGCCAGCAGCCGCGGUAAUACGAAGGGGGCUAGCGUUGUUCGGAUUUACUGGGCGUAAAGCGCACGUAGGCGGACUAUUAAGUCAGGGGUGAAAUCCCGGGGCUCAACCCCGGAACUGCCUUUGAUACUGGUAGUCUUGAGUUCGAGAGAGGUGAGUGGAAUUCCGAGUGUAGAGGUGAAAUUCGUAGAUAUUCGGGGGAACACCAGUGGCGAAGGCGGCUCACUGGCUCGAUACUGACGCUGAGGUGCGAAAGCGUGGGGGGCAAACAGGAUUAGAAACCCCUGUAGUCCA
rnacentral:rRNA from 1 species